UUAGUACUUCUGUUAAGAAUCUUCUGGCUGGUUGCCGUGGCUUACACCUGUAAUACUAGCACUUUGGGAGGUCCGAGGUGGGUGGAU